rnacentral:rRNA from 1 species
GACGGGGGGGGCAAGUGUUCUUCGGAAUGACUGGGCGUAAAGGGCAAGGAGGCGGUGAAUCGGGUUGAAAGUGAAAGUCGCCAAAAAGUGGCGGAAUGCUCUCGAAACCAAUUCACUUGAGUGAGACAGAGGAGAGUGGAAUUUCGUGUGUAGGGGUGAAAUCCGUAGAUCUACGAAGGAACGCCAAAAGCGAAGGCAGCUCUCUGGGUCCCUACCGACGCUGGGGUGCGAAAGCAUGGGGAGCGAACAGG